rnacentral:lncRNA from 1 species
CUCAUUUUUCUACUGCUCGUGGUAAGUGGCUUCGUGGUCUUUAUAGCUGUUACUCUUUUGUACUUUGUCUUUUUCUUUUAUUUUCUUUUGAGCGAUUGUGCGAACAUAGCAUAGCACGCACUAUGCCUUCUGUGUUGUAGCUGCCUGGCCAGGGCGACUGGCGGAUAAGGUCUUGUGCGUGGCCUCGAGGCUUAAAAGUAGCAGUGGGGCUUUGUGAAGGACAAAAUGGCGAUGGCGGGCCGUGUAGGUCCCCCUUCCUAUGAUGAGGACCUUUUCACAGACCUGUACUGAGCUCCGUGAGGAUAAAUAACUCUGAGGAGAUGGGCCCUGCAAGCCUCUUGCUUAGCCGUCUGUUCAGAAAAUAGCGUUUUCGAAAUGCCCUGAGUUGACCUAAUGUCUUAUUGGGCUCCUGUCUGCAGGAUUUACGCGCACGUUGGAACCGAAGAGAGCUCUGUUGUUGCACCCACAAGAGCUUACUGGUGAAGGAAUGGGACAAGACCCAUCUUUAUGCAAAGCCAGCGUUACAGUAAUGUUCCAGCAUCUCAUAAUCUAUCCUGGGGAAUUCAGCUGCCUCCCAGGGUGAAUACAGGUAUUCCUGAUGACAGUCUGCCUCUAUCUUACAGAGCAGCUUGUUGCUAUAUACCAUUGAAAAGCCUUCAGAGCUGAGAGGUACUACUAACCAAUAACCUGCUUGGCUCAAAGGGCCAGCACCUUCUCUCUAAAGCCCAAGAGGAGUUUGAGGAAAACUAGGUGUCUGUGUUCACUCCAGGCUGAAGUUACAGGUCUGAGCAAAUAAGGUGUAUAAAAAAUGGAAUCUGUCUUGGAGGACAUCAGAAGGUGAAUUUUCCAAGUUCUUGGACAACCUAGCUGUUGAAAAGCUUUCUGGGUUUGGGGGGUAUUUCAGAUGUACCUUAAAGUGUUAGCAGACACAGAUUAAGACACUGGGAGCCAAUGAAACAGCAGUUGAGGGUUUGCUGUGUAUCACAUUUCUGUAUUUUAUCACCCCCUUCCUGCAACAUUAUUUAUCUGGAAUCUACCUGCCCUUUUGUUUUUUAGAUACAAGGGCUUGGUUUUGUUACCCAGGCUGGUUUCAAGGCCAUAGCUUUAAGAGAUCCUCUCACCACAGAUUUCCAAAGUGCUGGGAUUGCAGGUGUGAUUCAUGGCACCCAGACUUUGCUGCCUUUCUUACAUGAUCCAGGCCCAGAACCCAAACUCAGGCACUGUAUAGAUGACCACUUUCGUAAACUACUGACCUAGCUUGUUGCCAAUUGUUGAUUGAACUUCCCAUAACUCCACUUCGUGUCUGUUCCUCUGUAUACAGCCACCUUCUGUUCCCGUCAUGAGCCUUUAGGUCUCCAUUUGCAUAUUGCAAAUACUAUGUUCCAUGUAGGUAGCUCAUUCAGGGCCUUGCUCUUCACUUCAAAAAAGGUUCCCUUGAGGACUGGCUGUCAAUUUGUGUUGCUGUGUUGGUUGUUGAUGAAAAUAAUAAAAUGAUUGAUUACAUA